CGAAAAAUGUGGAACGAACGAGGGGCAAUUUGAGGGAAGCCCAGAGAAUUGGCUGCGCCCGAGCCCCGGGAACGAGUUGGCGCCUAACUCGAUACAGUAAAGUUCGAAACAUUGCGUCACGAUCGCAUCGACCAAAUGAAACGAAUGUAAAGUAAUGCACUUUGGCACGUGCCGGAUAAAUGUGUGCUCGUCGAUGAGAAAUGCGCAUUUACAGAGACAUUCGCGAGUACAACGAGCGAUCGAUGGAAAAGUUAAUUAUCGAUGAGACUUUUUAAAGAGUGGCACAAUUACGCGCGAUAAAUGCGAGGCUCGGCGAGGAGAAAAAACCGAUUUGACGGCUCGCCGUCGGCCAGCAUAUCGGGGCAAGAAUAUCCUCGAAAUAGAAAUUUGAGGAAAAUCGAAUGGAAGGAGGAAACGAAUGGCGCGUGGAUCGACGGCUGCUAUCGAUUAAAUAAAUAAAUAAAAAACUCGAAGGAGAUGAUAAAACGGGACUUACCCAAAAGUAAGCAAGUUUCUCAGCGCUUUCUUCCGAGCUGAUCGAUUCCGAUUGGCGUUCGACUGCCUCCAGGAGACGUUGGAGCUUCUCGAGUCCACUGUCUUCGCUGGACCUUCGUUUUCGGCCGCUGCGCACAAAAGGGCGGAGAAUAAAUUCAUGAGGAUUUGGCACGCCAAGUUUUUUAUGAAGCUCCUAAUCGGAGGGAAAGGAAAUUGUAGAAGAGCUUCGACGAGUCUCCGGAAUCGAUGGACUUUCGUCGAUUCACGAUGCGAGAGACGGCAAAUCUCAUUUUUUCUCCUUAUUUUUAUUGCCCCUCGCCGCGCGCGAGUCUCCAGCAGAGUCCACAACUCGCGUUGACGCAAACGACGCGCUCGCAACGUGUGCUCUUCGCGCGCUUUCUAACACCUUCGUUAUUUUUCAAUUCUCGAAGCUUCCGCUCGCUCCCCAGAAUUGCAAAUUCGCCCCCUAACUCCAGAAUCCCCUCGAGACUAAUUUAUCCAAUUUUCUAUUCACGCAGCGGAACCGUGACCGCGGACGCGACCGAAGAAAGUGCUCGACGCCUUCGACAGCGAAAGUCCGGACGGAAGCUCCGGCCGACGGGAAGGAGAGUUCGCUCGGUUCCUUACUGGCGUUAUCGUCGCUCGGGGUGGCCUCCAACUGUACUUUUCCUCGCUCGCCUGACCUAACCCAAGAGACCGAGACGCGGAGGGUAAUCGGAGCCGAAUAGAUACGUACGAGAGCGAUCCACGAGCGCAGACGUCCGGCAAGACGAAAUUGAUUGUCCAACGGACCGGCAUGACGCUGAAGUUUCCAACGUUGGAGUCCAAUGAUCGAAAAAAACUCUCCAAUAAUUCCAGUAAUUCUCCUAUUUUGUUCCCUGCCAAAUUUGCGAUUCGUAGUUUUUCAAGCUGCACCAACGAUUCGCGAAAUAAAAAAUUGGUGAAUUACAAACGUUUUUUUCGUUCAUUUCGUUGGACUCCAACGUUGGAAACUUCAGCAUCGUCGGACCGGCGAUUCUGCUGGUCGAACCGAAAAGACGCAAGUUUCGCCCUCCGUUCGGUGCCCUUCGGUUCACCUUCGGAGGAAUAAUUUUCGAACGAUUUAUUCCCGUUCCGUAGAGAAAUUUCGCUCGUGCUUUAGGCUCGAUGGCACAAGUGAUUUUUUCAAUGCUCCUCGUCGCGUUUAUUUGACCGUGGAGAAUUGCUGAUUAGAUUUCACCGGCGUCCGGGCUCCCACACCGCCGUUUUUUUCAACGUUUUAAUAUACGCGAAUGAAAAGUCGUUGAGGACUCUUAAUAAAUGCCCCGAAGGCGUUCGAGUUUUGAGAUAACGCGCUUCGGGAGCCACCGAAUGGAAAUUUACUCGUCGAUUUUGUAUACGCUCUUUAACGCCCUUACGCGCAUCCCCCCCGUCGAGAAUCGCCCGUGAAAUACGCUUCUUAUUCAGCACAAAUUUAUACACCGCGCUGAUAGUCGCGCGGAAAUUUUUUUACUCGCUUUCCCUCCGGUCUGCUCUGCGGCGAGCGCGCGAGAAGAAGAGAACAACCGAAAGGAACGGUAACGCUCGGGUUCUCAUGUUCCUCCGCCUGCGCAACGAACCACCCCCUCGCUCCGUGUGUUUUUAUAUUCAAAGAAUGCUCGAUGCAGAUCAGCCACGAUCCUGGCACCGCGGUAAUGCAAUUUUUGACGUUUAUGUAAACGAUCCGACGAUUCGAAUCGUCUCAACUCCCCUUUUCCCACUUCGCGGGACCCUCAAUUUAUUAACUUUUCGUUCUGUCGCUUCUUGAGAAAACAAACUGGAAAUAAUGCUCUCGGGUUUUCCAUUUUUUACCGCCCCGUCGAGUGCCUUCGUUUCGUCCUAUUUGAGCGACGUUUUUCCCGUACUUUUUCCCUCUUUUUAAAGGAGCUUCAGAUUUUGGAAAAACGGGAAAAAUAUUCGGACUCAAAAGUGAUUUUUAUUCUCGUUUCUUUUGCCUAGUUUUGACUCAACUUCUCGUGUGUUACCGCACUCGGUGCAAGCAUUCGUGUCGCGUGCUUUCCCACACGAGCGAGGGGGCGAAACGUUUCGUGGGGAGAUGAAAGUACAGAUUGGAGAAAUGAGCGAAAACUUACAUUCUCGCGGGAUCGACGCGACCGAAUCCGACCGGAACGGUCACCAGCUUGCCUCGCAUUCGCGCGAGUGCCAACAGCGUCUCGAGCUCGGCGACACGUUGAUCCGAAACGCGUUUCUGUCUGCUGCUGAAAAAAUAACAAAAAACGUUGAAUCGCAGCAAUUCUGAUGUCAAAUUUUGCGAUGAAAUCCACACAAAAGUUAAGGAGAUUGGCGUGGAUCGGAGUCCGAUUGACCGAGAGCAGAGCGACACGAAUUUUUGUGAAUUUGCAUCGUCGCAACAUUUCAAGAGAAAAUCGAAGCCCAAAAAACCGAAAAAUGGUUGGAAGGUCGACGACCGGAAAAGUCGACAGAAAUAACUCGACUUGGGAAACAAUUCGACUGAAGAAACUUCAUACCCCGUUAAGAGUCUUUCUGCAGUAAACCUGCCGCGACAAUUUUCAAGAUAAAUACGCAGAGAAUGAACUUCCAACUUUUGAAAAAUCUCGAAACAAUGUUUUUUCCAUGAUUGACGUGUAAAAGGAAACCGCGAUCGCGCUCGCGAACGAGACGGCGCAAGUGUGCUCGGGCCUCGACAAUCCGUCUUAGCGACAAUCUCACCAGAUUGCAUCAGCAUUGCUGCGAACGCUUGGGCCGAGGUUAAAAAAUGCUGACUGGGACACAGUGCGAGUACGAAAGAAUAUAUGGAAAUCUCGCGUUUUAUGAAAACCUGGAGUGCAGUAUCCGAUUUUGAGAGGUUCAACGUGUCGAGCUUAUCGCAAAAUGGCAUUGAAAGAUCUUCGAAGCUCGUCGAUCGGUAUUUGGACCAAGCUCGAAUUCGAAGAUGCGCCAAAAUAUCGUGUGGAUUUACGAGCCUUCGCGAAGCUUUAUUCGAGAUGAAAAAUUCUAGUGGAAAUUAGGAACUAAUGAAACUGUACCUGACGAGCCCGGACGGUCUGGCGUGGGUGGAGUGCGGCAUGACAGCCGCGACGAGGACGAUCACGGCUACAUUUCUAAGAAGCCCACUCUGGACGAGUCUCGUGUGGAGAAAGUGACAGAUCGCGUUCGCACCGUUUGAGCAGAGUAGCGAUCCAUCGGACGAUAUUUGUGGAACGACACGUAAACGUGUCCGAGGAGUUAGUUGACCAGCAGAGCUGAUUGAGCUUCGUUGUGAGCGAUGCCGGAUGUCGCCAUUGGGAUUGGUCAAUUUUUCCUUUCACCAAAUAAAUCGAACGUGAUUCUCCCUCGAUUUCGUCUCUCCUCACGACAAUUAUUCGCGAUUUUGGACGAUCGUUUCAAAGAAAUUUCUCACUAAUUUGUUCAUUGGCCGAGGAUUUAUGGACCCGAAACGUCGAAAAAAUCGUUGGCUCGAGCACCAAUGGAGAGUCAAAUGAGCCAGAAACAGCUCAAGAAAAAAAUUCUCCACGAAAUCGUGGACAAAAUGUUUCUCGCAUAAAGAGAACCGUCGAGUUGGUUCUUUUUUUCCGAAACUGCGAAAAUCGUUGCUCAGUAUUGAGUAACAUUUUCGCCCGCCCCGCUCCCUUCUCUCGCUCCCGAUAACGAGCCAUCUCCCGUUAAUAUCUCGUCGCGAGCGCGCGCCUCUCCUCGUAUUAUAUGAGACUUUCACGCAAGUGACGUGAGGCACCACACACGAAGCGAAGUCAGUUAUUCCAUGAAACGAGCAUGACGUUUCUAAAUCAUGCGUGCUCUCUGUGCUUCUUCAUAUCUGACGUGUGCCAUUUUUUGUUUGUUUCCCUACACUCUCAAGCCCCAGCGACUACUCGUUUGUUUGUUUAAGAUUUGUUCCUUUCCCUGCAAUCUUCGUGAUGUCAUGGUAACUACCCAUCGAUUACACCUUUCAACAAGACUCAUAAAAAGGACGUCGUGGAAUAUUUAAAGUCAUAGAAAUUACGGCUCCUAUUUGAAAUACUGGAAGUACAAUGACCCGCUAAAUUCGAAGAGGAUCGAAGAUCCGGGCCUGAGCGAUUUGAACAGGAAAAUCGUGCGGUUUAACGUGGGCUCGGACCAGCCAAAGGCGGAGUGUUUCACAUGUUACGCAAAGAUUCCCAAAGUCUUUUAUAGGGGAGACCGGGGCAAAACGGGAUACCUAAGGAAAUAUUGAACUUUUCAGAAGUUUGGGAAGCUCUGUCUAUUUUUUACUCCCAAAAACUAAGAAAUGUACUGGAAUUUUGUUCAAUUAUCAAAAAAAAAAAAAGAUCCGAGGCGAAACGGGGUACUCCUCAAAAACUCAUGAAAUUUUUUUUACUAUGAUUUUAAUUCAAUGCACCUUGGGUGUAUUUUACACCCGUAACCGAGUGCUUCCGACUUAUCGCUGUAAGCGUUGAAAGCGAUCUCAGCGCGUACAACGCUCUAACGUACGUCGAACGCAUCUUCUGUAAUUCAAUUCAAAAUGAAUGAUAUGAAUAAUAUCGAAGAUUGCUAAUGUU
rnacentral:lncRNA from 1 species